rnacentral:sRNA from 1 species
UCGCAACCACAAUGGUGGCACUCUGCCA